CCCUCACCUGCGACUCACUCCUCCUCCGCUCCACGCCCGGCCCCCUCCUCGCGGAGUUCUUCGGAGACGUUUCCCCGCGCUUCCCUGCAGACUUGGGCACCUGAGUGGCUGCUCCAUCCCACGCCGUUCCCAGUUCUCCCUCUUACCGCGCUCACCCCGCCAGUGCCGGUGGUAGAGACUUUCUGUACUGGGGCUUCCUCCUCCCUGGAGUUGCCGGAAAGAGCAAACAAACAAACGAACAAACAAACAAAAAAACAGGCGCUGGUGUAGGCUCCAAAAUAAACACAUCUGAAUUCAUGAUGGCAUCGACAGAGGCUCUUAUUGGAUUAAAAGUUUCCAAACAAACAAUAACACUUUGGAAAAAGGGUUGAAUGCCUGUCUGUACGUUCAGGCAUGACCAUGGAGAAAGGUGGGAACAUACAAUUGGAGAUCCCUGACUUCAGCAACUCUGUCCUGAGCCAUCUAAACCAACUACGCAUGCAGGGCCGCCUCUGUGAUAUUGUGGUCAAUGUGCAAGGACAAGCUUUCCGGGCUCACAAAGUAGUGCUGGCCGCCAGCUCCCCCUAUUUCCGCGAUCACAUGUCCUUGAAUGAAAUGAGUACUGUCUCCAUCUCAGUCAUCAAGAAUCCCAGUGUUUUUGAGCAGCUGCUUUCUUUCUGUUACACAGGGCGGAUAUGCCUGCAACUGGCAGAUAUCAUCAGCUACCUAACAGCUGCUAGCUUUCUGCAGAUGCAGCAUAUAAUAGACAAAUGUACACAGAUCCUGGAGGGCAUUCAUUUUAAAAUUAAUGUGGCUGAGGUUGAAGCAGAAUUAAGUCAAACAAGGACAAAGCAUCAAGAGAGACCUCCCGAGUCUCACAGGGUUACACCGACUCUAAACCGCUCACUUAGCCCACGCCAUAAUAUCCCAAAGGGAAACCGGCGAGGACAGGUUAGUGCUGUGCUGGAUAUCAGAGAGCUAAGUCCCCCCGAGGAGUCCACCAGCCCUCAGAUAAUUGAACAGAGCUCUGAUGUAGAGAGCAGGGAGCCCAUUCUUCGAAUCAACCGUGCAGGACAGUGGUAUGUGGAGACAGGAGUAGCGGACCGGGGAGGCCGGAGUGAUGAUGAAGUUAGGGUUCUUGGAGCAGUGCACAUCAAAACUGAAAAUCUUGAAGAGUGGCUUGGGCCUGAGAAUCAGCCUUCUGGAGAAGAGGGGAGUAGUGCGGAGGAAGUUACAGCCAUGGUGAUUGACACCACAGGCCAUGGUUCUAUAGGACAGGAAAGUUACACCUUGGGGUCUUCAGGAGCCAAGGUGGCUCGGCCAACAAGCAGUGAAGUUGACAGAUUUAGCCCCUCCGGCAGUGUUGUUCCCAUGACAGAAAGACACAGAGCCAGAAGUGAGUCUCCUGGGAGAAUGGAUGAGCCUAAGCAACCCAGCUCCCAGGUAGAAGAAUCAGCCAUGAUGGGAGUAAGUGGCUAUGUGGAGUAUCUUCGAGAGCAGGAAGUAUCUGAGCGAUGGUUCAGGUACAAUCCCCGUCUCACUUGUAUCUACUGCGCCAAAUCUUUCAACCAAAAGGGGAGUCUGGACCGUCACAUGCGCCUGCACAUGGGAAUCACACCAUUUGUCUGCCGCAUGUGUGGCAAAAAGUAUACCCGGAAAGAUCAGCUAGAAUAUCAUAUUCGUAAGCACACAGGCAAUAAGCCCUUUCACUGUCAUGUUUGUGGCAAAAGUUUUCCCUUCCAGGCCAUCUUGAAUCAGCACUUUCGCAAAAACCACCCUGGCUGUCUACCCCUGGAGGGACCUCAUAGCAUUUCCCCUGAAACAACUGUCACAUCUCGAGGACAAACAGAAGAAGAGUCACCUUCACAGGAAGAAACAGUUGCUCCUGGGGAGACUGCCCAGGGCUCUGUGUCUACUACAGGGCCGGAUUGAAACAUUGAGGGGAGGAGGCAGACCCUCUUUCUCUUUAGGCCGUAAGAAGCCCCCAUCAGGGCCAUGGGCUGGUACUUAGAUUCAUAAAAUGCCACAUUGCUAAACCAGGAGGUGUUCCCACAAUGUUGCCAAACCAGAGGAUCAACAGCAUACAGAAAGCGCUGAAGGCUUAUCCUCUUUCCCACCUCACACUUUGGAAAAUAAUCAAACAAAUCACUUUGGAAUUCAGGGAUCAACAGCCUUGGUUUGUUAACUUUAUAAGAAAACACAUUUUUAUAAACAAAACUGAUAAAUGGUCAUUUAUCUACCAGUCAUGUUUGAACUGUACUUUGGUCCAUAUCAUCUUGGUGGGUGAAAUUGCCCAGACCAAAAAAAAAAUACAACAGGAGCCUUGGCCAUCUGAAGCAGCUAAUCAGAAGAGAGAAAGAGCAUCACAAGUCUAAACCAUUUCAAGCCAAUCACAACAAGCCAAGUGAGUAGAAACUAAAGGUUUAGAUUUCUGCUUUUAGCUACAUCUUGAAGCAGAUAUUGAUGACAUAUUUGAAGAUGAUCUACUGAACUUCCUAUAAAGUAAUAGAAUCCCAGCAACAGUGGUUAAGUUGAACCACUCAAAACAGAAUUGCUAUGCAGGAAACAAAGCCUAGGUAUGUUUCCUCUGGAAGCCAAGAUACUAGAGCAGAGGUUACUAAACGUGUGGCUAAAAUCCACCUCUGGAAUGGCUAUUAGAUAGCAGAAAUAUUUAGA